GUACCACUGAGGAGUCCCACAAUGGGACGAAACGGCCGUCCAGUGC
rnacentral:hammerhead_ribozyme from 1 species